AUCUCAAUAUGAUGAUAUAAUUUGCGAUUUAGUUCUAAUAAACUCGAAACACGCCUAGUUUCAUUUAUGGGUUAUUAGUUUCAAUGCAACCAAUUAUUUAGUCUGAUUGAAAU
rnacentral:snoRNA from 1 species